AGAACUGGAGACUUGGCAUGUCCAGGUGGAGGCUUUGUGGGUGUGCCCGCCCUGUGGCCUGCACAGAAGGGAGCAGCAGGCCCUGCCCUCCGGGGCCAUCGUGACUUGGCUGUGGGUUUCAUGUACUUUCGUGACUACUCUUGGCGAAGCUGGAGGGGCUGACAUGACAGAGCCCCUACGGAGCCCCAGAGGAGACUAACGCAAGGUUAUGAAGAGUGGGCGUGAUCCCCUCAGACUGCCUCCCUGAACAGGAGGCCGUGCGCUCCACCAUGCCGGGCUGAAAGCUCUACAUCCAUGACCUCAUCUGAUCCUCACAACCAUCUCUCGAGAGGAGUAUCGUUACACUCAUUUUACAGUGGAGGAAACUAAAGCUCAGAGAGGGUAAGCCAAUUAUCCAAGGUCACACAGUCAGAGGAAAAGCUGGAAAUCAGGCUCAGAUGGUCACACACCCAGGCCCACACACUGAGCGACCCCACCACACUGCCCCCACCCAGGCUACUCUAGACCACAGGGAGGUCAGCCCAGGAAGCCAGAGCGGCUGGACUGCCAACCAGGAAACGCAGGGAGAGACGGAGAGACGGCACAGGCCUGUUCUGGCGUGUCUUUAAUGCCAAAACCCUCCUGCCCCCUAGCUGCAGCUGAUGAGAAGUUUUCAAGUGGAGGUUCUAGAAUCCCCAUGCACUUCUGAUUCUCACACACACCGAGACUUGGUCACAUGAGCAAGAGUCUGGGAUCAGUUCUUGCCCACAGUGUAGCAGACACUCCCAGGAUGUCAGUCGCUGCCCCUCCAAGCACACCCUGCUAAUGUGGUGCCUGCCUAACAGCUUCGGGGGGUGGGUGCUGGGGGCCUGGGGUGCCUCAUAGGAAAGGGGACCUCUAUAGGUGGGGCCCAGGGCAGCCCACAGCAGGGUCUCCCAGUCCCCACCCUGCUCCUCCUGACCUCGGCAGCUGCUGGGGGCACGCACCUGUUUGCAGAACCUCAGAAAUCCGAUGGAAUAAGUCUUUCCCCAGAGGCAGCAGGUGCCGUACACACAGCUGGACCUGGAAGAGACAAGCAUAGGAGGCAGCGGUGGUCACAAUUUUAUAACAACAAAACAGUCUCUGCGAAAAUCUUGGGAGAAAUUCCAAGCAGGAGAGAGAGGGCAGAACCUUCAUCCAGUCAACAACCUGUAGUGGUAUCCGGAAUACGCACAGCACUAUGAGCUACAACAAAGCACACGGCAGCACACAGAACACAGUAAAAACCUCGGGAAGCUUGGGCUGCUCAUUCUAAAUUGGGACUCGGCUCAACAUCUCCACAAAGACCCAAAAUUUGCCACAGGGAGUGAUGGCACAGCAAGUCUGCUGUAAAUGUUGAUGCUACAAAUGCAGCAACACGCUGUAACGGGUCUCCUGGUCAGGGGGUUCCUUCUGGGUCAGCAAAAUGAAGGCUGCUGCCUGCAAGGGUGUUAGAGGCAAAUGGAUAUGCCAGGAUGGAGGAGAGUGUGGAGAACAGGAGGAAAAGGGGUGCAGCAGAGGGUAUCCAAAAGGAAAGAACGCAAGAGGAAGGGCCAGGGUGAGGACAUGGGAAUGAGGAUGGGCAUCCAGCAAAGGCACAAGGCCAAGGGGACGGGCAGAACAGAGUCAGGAGAACAGGUCCAGGGAGCCACGGUGGCCCUCCAGCCAGAGAGCUUCUUCUCAUCCGACCCCGCCAGCCCCUGCAGCACAGAGUCCUUUAAGGCUCCCUGGUGCCACCCAGCUUGGCACUUGAUCUUUCAAUGGGUGACCUGGUCCCUGCCCAAGCUCCCGCCACUCCCGAGCAGCACUAAUGCUGCGCUUCUCCCCAGAGCAGGUUCUCUACCCUUCGGUGCUUCUGCACUCCUAGAUCCCAGAGGCUCUAGCGCCCUUCCCACUGUACUCUCAGGAUCCAUCAACCCCAGCUGGGAUGGCACCCAGUGUGACAAGUCCCCGGUGACCAUCAUGGAGGUGAGUGCCCUCCCACCCACGGAACCUGAUUUGCAGACACUUCCCAGUGCUUCCCACCCUGUGUCACAAUGACUGGUCUCCCCCUCUAUCCUUCCUCAGGACACAGACGCCACUCGUGGCACACACGGGGCACACCACAACUGUUUCACUGACUGAACUGGAGCGUGGAAAGCCCUGGUGAUGUUUUUUAGGCAAAGCUGGCCUUCAGUGAUUUGGAAAGGAACACAUUCGUGGCAUUUUACGCCACUCACGGUUGCCCUAAUCCAUUAACAGCUCCCAUCUCCAGGUGGCAUCUACAUGUAUAUGUCCCCCAGCACUGACCACGCCUUGUUGUGACUGUCCCUUCGCCCUUCACACACAUACAGCAGAGGUAUGCGAUGUGUGUGAGCCUAAGAGGGUUCAGUUUCCUCAUCUAUCACAGGGGAUCACAGGAGCACCAAUUUGGCAGGUGGCUGUGAGGUGUGAGCAUGAAAGUGUUCAGAAGUGUGUCCGGGGCUCACUGCGCUGGGUGUUGGCUGUCACGACCAUUACUGUCUAUCUGCUGCGUGCAGGGCCAGGAGCCCCUAGACAGGGCUGAGGGCCAUGUGUACUGCCUGCCUGUGCUGGAGGCAGCUCAGGAUGUCUCAGGACAGACGAGUCUCCACCAAUCUCCAGAUGACUCUUCACCAGCAAGAACUAUGGGGCAAAGGGAAAGGGGUGGGCAUUAAGCCAAACCUGAUGUCAGCCUGCCAGUAACCUCUGUUCAAAACCUCACAAGGCCAAGCACAAUGACCGUGUCCAUUCUAAGCCAGGCCCAGCUAUAUCGUGAUGGUUGUAUUUUCUUUUUCUUUUCUUUUUUUUUUGAGACAGAGUCUCGCUCUAUCCCCCAGGCUGGAGUGCAGUGGCAAGAUCUUGGCUCACUGCAACCUCCACCUCUAGGGUUCAAGUGGUUCUCCUGUCUCAGCCUCCCGAGUAACUGGGAUUACAGGUGCGCACCACCACACCCAGCUAAUUUUAUAUUUUUAGUAGAGACAGGGUUUUACCAUGUUGGCCAGGGUGGUCUCGAACCCCCGACCUCAGGUGAUCCGCCCAUCUCGGCCUCCCAAAGUGCUGGGAUGACAGGCGUGAGCCACUGCGCCUGGCCAACGGUUGCAUUUUCUAAAGACUGCCACAUCUCAUGAUGCUGACACCCCUCCUCUGAGAGGUGGGGUCUUGUUCUCUCCCUUUGCAUCUGGUGGCCCUGAGUAACCACAGCCGAAGUGAUGUUUUGUGACAUCUGAUGUAGGGGUUGGAAGAGGCCUCUUUCCUCUGGCUCUUUCUCCCUUGAGUGCCUGUCCUUGCACCCAGUCGCCAUGCAGCGGGGAAGCACGAGCUAGCCUUUGGAGACACCGCACAGAGAGGCUCAUGUGAGGGAACCGAGGCCUUCAGCUGACAGCCAGCAUCAACUGCCAGGCACACAAGGGAGUGAGCCUUCAGGUGAUUUGCCCCGGCCUUCAUGCUCUCCUGCCAAGGCCCAGAGGUCACGGAGCAGGGACAAACUAUCUCCCCUGCACCCAGUCCAAAUUCUUGACCUAUAAUAUCCAUGAAGAAAUUGGAUGGUUGUUUUACACUAGUGUGUUCUGGCAGUAGUUAUUUGCACAGCCAUGGUAAGUGGAAUACAGAUAAAACCAUGACUGAA